CCAGACUCCUACGGGAGGCAGCAGUGAGGAAUAUUGGUCAAUGGUCGGGAGACUGAACCAGCCAAGCCGCGUGAGGGAGGAGGGUACAGAGUAUCGUAAACCUCUUUUGUCAGGGAACAAAGACUGGGACGCGUCCCCGGAUGAGUGUACCUGAAGAAAAAGCAUCGGCUAACUCCGUGCCAGCAGCCGCGGUAAUACGGAGGAUGCGAGCGUUAUCCGGAUUUAUUGGGUUUAAAGGGUGCGCAGGCGGAGGUGCAAGUCAGCGGUCAAAUUGCGGGGCUCAACCCCGUACUGCCGUUGAAACUGGCGGCCUCGAGUGGGCGAGAAGUAUGCGGAAUGCGUGGUGUAGCGGUGAAAUGCAUAGAUAUCACGCAGAACUCCGAUUGCGAAGGCAGCAUACCGGCGCCCUACUGACGCUGAGGCACGAAAGCGUGGGUAUCGAACAGGAUUAGAUACCCCAGUA
rnacentral:rRNA from 1 species